rnacentral:rRNA from 1 species
UACGAGGGGGGCGAGCGUUGUUCGGAAUUAUUGGGCGUAAAGGGUGCGUAGGCGGUUUGGUAAGUCUCGUGUGAAAUCUACAGGCUCAACUUGUAGUCUGCACGAGAAACUGCCGGGCUUGAGUAUGGGAGAGGUGAGUGGAAUUCCUGGUGUAGAGGUGAAAUUCGUAGAUAUCGGGAGGAACACCAGUGGCGAAGGCGGCGACCUGGACGGACACUGACGCUGAGACGCGAAAGCGUGGGGAGCAAACAGG